rnacentral:rRNA from 1 species
GCAGAGCAUCCUACGGGAGGCAGCAGUGGGGAAUAUUGCACAAUGGGCGCAAGCCUGAUGCAGCCAUGCCGCAUGUAUGAAGAAGGCCUUCGGGUUGUAAAGUACUUUCAGCAGUGAGGAAGGUGGAUAUGUUAAUAGCAUAUUCAUUUGACGUUAGCUGCAGAAGAAGCACCGGCUAACUCCGUGCCAGCAGCCGCGGUAAUACGGAGGGUGCGAGCGUUAAUCGGAAUUACUGGGCGUAAAGCGCAUGCAGGUGGUUUGUUAAGUCAGAUGUGAAAGCCCGGGGCUCAACCUCGGAAUUGCAUUUGAAACUGGCAAACUAGAGUACUGUAGAGGGGGUAGAAUUUCAGGUGUAGCGGUGAAAUGCGUAGAGAUCUGAAGGAAUACCGGUGGCGAAGGCGGCCCCCUGGACAGAUACUGACACUCAGAUGCGAAAGCGUGGGGAGCAAACAGGAUUAGAUACCCUGGUAG